CUGCUGGAUUUUAAACAUGUGUGAGGCCUGUAGCCCCUUUCUUUGAGCUGAUUUCUCCCUUUUUGAAAGGUAAUGUUUACCCAAUGCUUACAACCUGUUGUAUCUUGAAAUAAACUGGUGUAUUUAAUUUUACAGGCUCAUAGUUGGAAGGAACUUGCCUGUCAGAUGAGACUUUGGACUUUGAACUGCUGAGUUAAUGCUGGAAUGAGUUAAGACUUUAAGGGACUAUUGGGAAGAUAGUAAUGCGUUUUGCAAUGUGAGAAGGACAUGAGAUUUGGGGGUCUGGAGCAGAAUAAAUUCCCACCAAAAUCUCAUGUUGAAAUGUAAUCCCUAAUGCUGGAGAUAAUCCAGGCUUCCUGCCUUCCCCACCAGCAAAGAUUAGAUGUCUCUGAAAAGAAGCCCAAUCAAACCAACUUCCUUCAGAUGAUGGGCCAGGGGCACUGGCCUGGAUGCUGGCAAGCAAGUUGAAGGAGGAUUGGGUGCUGCUUAAGAGUAUACUAUGCAGAACCAGACUGGAUUCAAAACCAGGAUUCAAAUCCCUGCUCUGAAACUUGGGUCUCACUAACUAACUCUUUCAUCAUUAAAAUGAAGAUAAUAACAAUAAGAAUGUAAGUGGGUUGUUGACAGGACAUGAGUUAUUACAUAAAAAUCGUUUGGAAUAAAGCAUGUCGCAAAAUUGUUAUUAAUACA
rnacentral:lncRNA from 13 species